rnacentral:rRNA from 1 species
AGUGAACGCUGGCGGUAGGCCUAACGCAUGCAAGUCGAACAGCAGCACAGUAAGAGCUUGCUCUUACGGGUGGCGAGUGGCGGACGGGUGAGGAAUACAUCGGAAUCUACUUUUUCGUGGGGGAUAACGUAGGGAAACUUACGCUAAUACCGCAUACGACCUACGGGUGAAAGCAGGGGAUCUUCGGACCUUGCGCGAUUGAAUGAGCCGAUGUCGGAUUAGCUAGUUGGCGGGGUAAAGGCCCACCAAGGCGACGAUCCGUAGCUGGUCUGAGAGGAUGAUCAGCCACACUGGAACUGAGACACGGUCCAGACUCCUACGGGAGGCAGCAGUGGGGAAUAUUGGACAAUGGGCGCAAGCCUGAUCCAGCCAUACCGCGUGGGUGAAGAAGGCCUUCGGGUUGUAAAGCCCUUUUGUUGGGAAAGAAAAGCAGCAGGUUAAUACCCCGCUGUUCUGACGGUACCCAAAGAAUAAGCACCGGCUAACUUCGUG